UACGUAGGGCGCAAGCGUUGUCCGGAAUUAUUGGGCGUAAAGAGCUCGUAGGUGGUUUGUUGCGUCUGCCGUGAAAACCCGAGGCUUAACCUCGUGGCUUGCGGUGGAUACGGGCAGACUUGAGGUAGGUAGGGGAGAAUGGAAUUCCCGGUGUAGCGGUGAAAUGCGCAGAUAUCGGGAGGAACACCGAUGGCGAAGGCAGAUCUCUGGGCCAUUACUGACGCUGAGGAGCGAAAGCGUGGGGAGCGAACAGG
rnacentral:rRNA from 1 species